AUUGAACGCUGGCGGCAGGCCUAACACAUGCAAGUCGAGCGGAGCGGCGGACGGGUGAGUAAUGUAUGGGGAUCUGCCCGAUAGAGGGGGAUAACUACUGGAAACGGGCGCUAAUACCGCAUACUAUCAGAUGAGCCUAGGUCGGAUUAGCUAUUUGGUGGGGUAAAGGCCUACCAAGCCGACGAUCCGUAACUGGUCUGAGAGGCUGAUCAGUCACACUGUAACUGAGACACGGUCCAGAGUCCUACGUGAGGCAGCAGUGGGGAAUUUUGGACAAUGGGCGAAAGCCUGAUCCAGCCAUGCCGCGUGUGUGACGAAGGUCUUCGGAUUUUAAAGCACUUUAAGUUAGGAGGCGUUACCAACAGAAUAAGCACCGGCUAACUUCGUGCCAGCCGCCGCGGUAAUAC
rnacentral:rRNA from 1 species